rnacentral:rRNA from 1 species
GACGAACGCUGGCGGCGUGCUUAACACAUGCAAGUCGAACGGAAAGGCCCUGCUUUUGUGGGUUGCUCGAGUGGCGAACGGGUGAGUAACACGUGUGUAACCUCCCCUUGACUUUGGGAGAACUUCAGGAAACUGGGGCUAAUACCGGAGAGAAGCUCCUGAUGCAUGGGGGGGGUUGGAAAGUUUCGGCGGUUGGGGAUGGACUCGCGGCUUAUCAGCUUGUUGGUGGGGUAGUGGCUUACAAGGGCUUUGACGGGUAGCCGGCCUGAGAGGGUGACCGGCGACAUGGGGACUGAGAGACGGCCCAGAAUCCUACGGGAGGCAGUAGUGGGGAAUAUUGCACAAUGGGCGGAAGCCUGAUGCAGCAACGCCGCGUGCGGGAUGACGGCCUUCUGGUUGUAAACCGCUUUCGCCUGUGACGAAGCGUGAGUGACGGUAAUGGGUAAAGAAGCACCGGCUAACUACGUG